GGGUUUUGAACAGAUUGAGACGACGACACCUUUUACUGAUCCAAAACGUAGUGAGAUUUCGCCGUUCCCACUUCGCAGAGCGGAUUUCUGAACCAAAUCUCCCAGAGAAUUUGAUAAUAAGUGACCAAAACAUCUAAUUAUUCUUAAAAAGUGUUACGCCGCCAAUAAACUCUUACUGUUUUUCCUUUGCAACUGUUUAGUGCGUCUUCUGAUUACUUCGGAGUACGAUACUCUCUCAUCGGAAGCAGAGUCUAAGUUCUGAGUCGAUUUUCAGCCUAUUGAAACUGCUCAUACCUUUUCCAAAUUCCGUAUGAACAAACCUAAGAACUGAAUGUUAUAUGUUUGUAAAACAACAGACUGGGAGUCACAAUAUCGGUUCAUAAACUGGUAUUUAAGAAGGAAAUAGACCCAAGAAAAAGACAACUAGAAACAUUAGAAAUCUUCAGAAGAAAAUCAGGGAAAUGCUGUCAGCGAGGACUAAACAUCUAUAAGUUAUAAUUGAUUCUUGGAGUUCCUAAAAAAGAAGAAACAGCAAGCACAUUUUCAUCUUAGUUUUCAAAAAAACUUCAGCCCAUUUUCGAACAGUUGGAAGAAUGUUUUCAUUGUUUUAUGUCAAAUUGUUCUUUUGUUUCGUUUUCGUAAAAUAUAAGUGCCACGAAUAUUCAAACGGAGCUGAAAGGCCGAUAAUUUAUCGUAAUAGCGCUUUAGAUGAAACUGUAAACGAAAAACAAUGUUUGGCAUCAUAAUUACAGUUGACGUUAAAAAAGACUAGACUCUCAUCUAUAUUAUUCGAAUAUAAAUAGACUUGCACUUAGCUAAAAGGAGAUUUGUUUGUAAAAUAAUAUAAAAAGAGUGUUCGUUCUUGAAAAAGGACCAUUGUCGAUUGUGCUACUUACUUUCUAUUACAAGCUCUCAAAUCCUUUAAAAAUGAUUCGAAACCAAAAUUGUGUGGAGAGAAUUGUAAUCCAAGCUAAAGUCGAAUCUAAGCGCCCACGCGGUCAUUCCCCAUUGCGUUGGACGGAUCUUGUUAAGAGCGGUACGCAAAGUAGCGUACCGGAAUGUCCCCACACCGCUAGGAACCGCAUUAGAUGGAGAAACAUCGCAAGAGCUGCAAUAAUGGAACAAAGCAAUGAGACCCAAGAACCAUCAUCUUAAUACUACAUGGUUAUUGCGCAUCUUUCUUAUCUGUUUCUGUAUUUAUCAAUUGUCUAUGCCUUACGGCAGACGAUAACGUUAAUCGAAAUGUAAUCAGCACUGUAGAUUUUUUUUUCCUUUUUUCCUAUCUAUGCUGAUAGUCUCAGAGGCUAUUUCAGCUUUACCCUAAGGUGCAGGCGAGCUCACGGGGCUCAAGUUAGAAAUGUUGCUAACACUGGCCCUAGACAGAGCAGUGCUUCGCGGAAUCUACCACCGGAUCGGAAACGCGACCCACUGAGAAGAUCCGGUGAGAAACUCAGUGGGCUGUGUCUAUCUAUGGGUUAAUUUACUCGACGAGCCCUUCGUCGCAAACAACGGGUUCGGCGAGGACGGUGACCGGUGCUUGAGGUACCUAAAAGCACCGUAAAUGCUUCGGGACGAUCCAUAAUGACGUGUUAAGGGCGAUAGCACUGUAGUAAUAAAAUAUUUACCAUAUUAUAGUAUAGGAGGUAUAAGAGAACAGUUUGUGAAGCCGAACGGUCACAGUGAUUAGUAUUAUGACGGAUAACAUUGAUGGAAAAUCGUUUUUAUUUGCCAAGUCAAGUAUACCUAAAUACUUAGUUUUCUAAUUUUAGCAUUUCGUGACACGACGCGCACUCAAUAGUGAAGGUGAUUUGAUGACGUCACCUUGGAACGUGUGUAGGAACGUGAACCGCGCGGACGCUGUUUGUUACAUUGCGUGCAAAAAGCAUUAGUAUUAACUUUAUUCAUUUGCCUCGUUUUCAGGAACGAUUCUCGAUAAAAUGUAUCAAAGCAACACAAAUUCUGUAUUAGUUUUUGUUUCGUAUCCAUUUUCUCAGAUAGUAGGAAAUAGCGGAGGAACUGCAAACGCCUGUCAUCGACGCGCUCCACCAAGCUACAGAACGGGAUCGAUGGAGACUGCUGGUUGACGGAAUCGGACGGAGUCACGAUCCUCAGCAAUGAGGGACCGAUUGAAGAGAGAGAGAGAGAGAAAGAUAUGUCAUAAAAGGAAAAAUAUGAAUACAAUUACGUAUUAUUUUUUUAUCAAUUAAUAUGCUGUAACAUCUUUUCAUUUUAUCAACUUUCGUUCAUUCAUUUCGACGUCUAUAUUAUUAAUAACUGAUAGGAUCAUGUAUCGGAAACAUGGGAGGGAGUAAAUGUGAUACAUAAAUAAAACGUAGGCAAGUUUUAAAUGAUUUUGAAAUUUUAAUAUAAUACAUUACUGUUAUAUCUACUCUAUUAACAAAAUAUGUAAUGUACUUGGUGUUUAGAUGUAGUUAAGUCCAAAUUAACAAGUAUUACUUAGGUGUUUUAGAUGUUUGACUUCGAGCAUACUCUAAUUUUUUGGAUUAGCUUAAUCAUUUCUUUUAGGUUUAAAGAUGAAUUUAACAAUGAAACCUUAUAGAGACGGUGGUUAAUUUUCGAUUUAUUACAACAAAAAUCUCAUUUUUCACAUUUUCAAUAGAACAGUUAUAUGUGUGCUAUUAAAUUAAUAUUACUUAUUGGCAAAGUAAAGUAGAAUUGCAGCACAUUUAAAUUAAGAAACAUAUUAUCAAUCAAUCAAUCAAACAAAACAAUUUUUAUUAGUUCUGAUUAUUUUACUAAUAAAUACCUAGUAACAUGUGAGUUUACUUUGAAAGUAGUUUAUAAACUAUAUAAUAAAUGUUAGAGAAAUAAAAAGAUAGAUGUUUAUUCUGAAAAAAAAAAAAAUAUCAUUAUGAAUUUUAAGACUAGCUGUUUAGAAUGUAUACGAUUAACAAAUAUGUAAUUUAUUUAAUAUACGUGUAAUAAAACAAUGAACCACAAUA